rnacentral:rRNA from 1 species
UACGGAGGGUGCAAGCGUUAAUCGGAAUUACUGGGCGUAAAGCGUGCGUAGACGGUUAUUUAAGUCAGGUGUGAAAGCCCAGGGCUCAACCUUGGAAUUGCAUUUGAGACUGAAUAGCUAGGGUGCGGAAGAGGGAAGCGGAAUUUCCGGUGUAGCGGUGAAAUGCGUAGAUAUCGGAAGGAACAUCAGUGGCGAAAGCGACUUCCUGGACCAAUACUGACGCUCAUGUGCGAAAGCGUGGGGAGCAAACAGG